rnacentral:rRNA from 1 species
UACGUAGGUGGCAAGCGUUGUCCGGAUUUACUGGGCGUAAAGGGCGUGCAGGCGGUCUGUUAAGUCUAGGGUGAAAGCUCCCGGCUCAACUGGGAGAGGUCCUUGGAUACUGGCGGACUUGAGGGAGGUAGAGGAAAGUGGAAUUCCCGGUGUAGUGGUGAUAUGCGUAGAUAUCGGGAGGAACACCAGUGGAGAAGGCGGCUCUCUGGCCUUACCUGACGCUGAGACGCGAAAGCGUGGGGAGCGAACAGG